rnacentral:rRNA from 1 species
CCUACGGGUGGCAGCAGUGAGGAAUAUUGGUCAAUGGACGAGAGUCUGAACCAGCCAAGUAGCGUGAAGGAUGACUGCCCUAUGGGUUGUAAACUUCUUUUAUAUGGGAAUAAAACAGGGUAUGCAUACCCUCUUGUAUGUACCAUAUGAAUAAGGAUCGGCUAACUCCGUGCCAGCAGCCGCGGUAAUACGGAGGAUCCGAGCGUUAUCCGGAUUUAUUGGGUUUAAAGGGAGCGUAGGUGGAUUGUUAAGUCAGUUGUGAAAGUUUGCGGCUCAACCGUAAAAUUGCAGUUGAAACUGGCAGUCUUGAGUGGGCGAGAAGAAGGCGGAAUGCGUGGUGUAGCGGUGAAAUGCAUAGAUAUCACGCAGAACCCCGAUUGCGAAGGCAGCCUUCCGGCGCCCUACUGACGCUGAGGCACGAAAGUGCGGGGAUCGAACAGGAUUAGAUAUCCGGGUAGUC